GAGUCAGUCAGCGUCUGCCAGAGGUGAGUAGAACUAAACUUAAUCUUUUAUGUACGAAAUCGAAUGCCUAAAGCAUGUUCAUGCAUCAUGAUUACAUGUAAUAGGAUUGAUUGCACUAGUUUCACGAAUAUGGCGCAUUGCAUUAUUUGAUGUUGAUUCAGGAGGUUUGGACCAAGGCGACUUCAAUAGCCCAUAUCUGUCAUUGAGUCUUGGGUGAGUCCUUCAAGAGCCGGACAAGUACACGUAGGAAAGUCCUUGUGAGCUCUCUGUGGACUAGGCACCCUGCCAUGUAUGUGAAAGUCCUGUGUGAGCUCCUUUGGGGGAGCCGGGCACCGACAGAGG
rnacentral:lncRNA from 1 species